UAAUGAUGGGUAGGGGAGCUUCCCAUACGGGUUGAAGCAUGACCGUAAGGACAUGUGGACAGUAUGGGAGUGAGAAUGUUGGCAUGAGUAGCGAGAUGUGGGUGAGAAUCCCACAGGCCGUAAACCCAAGGUUUCCAGGGGAAGGUUCGUCCGCCCUGGGUUAGUCGGGACCUAAGCUGAGGCCGAAAGGCGUAGGUGAUGGACAACAGGUUGAUAUUCCUGUACUACCGAUAACCGUUUGAGAGAAGGGAUGACACAGUAGGAUAAGCUAAGCACACUGUUGGUUAUGUGUGCCCAAGCAUUGAGGCAGUCAAAGCAGGCAAAUCCGCUUUGAUAAUGCUGGGAUGUGAUGGGGAGCGAAAUUUAGUAGCGAAGUAGCUGAUUUCACACUGUCAAGAAAAGUCUCUAUCGAGGUUAAAGGUACCCGUACCGCAAACCGACACAGGUGGGUGAGGAGAGUAUCCUAAGGCCAGCGAGAGAACUGUUGUUAAGGAACUCGGCAAAAUGACCCCGUAACUUAGGGAUAAGGGGUGCCACCAUCCGGUGGCCGCAGAGAAUAGGCCCAAGCGACUGUUUACCAAAAACAUAGGUUUCUGCUAAGUCGCAAGACGAUGUAUAGGAGCUGACGCCUGCCCGGUGCUGGAAGGUUAAGGGGAUCUGUUAGAGCAAUCGAAGCAGUGAACUUAAGCCCCAGUAAACGGCGGCCGUAACUAUAACGGUCCUAAGGUAGCGAAAUUCCUUGUCGGGUAAGUUCCGACCCGCACGAAAGGCGUAACGAUUUGGGCACUGUCUCAACAACAGACUCGGUGAAAUUGUAAUUCCGGUGAAGAUGCCGGAUACCUGCGACAGGACGGAAAGACCCCAUGGAGCUUUACUGUAGCUUGACAUUGGGUCUUGGUACUACAUGUACAGGAUAGGUGGGAGGCUUUGAAACCAGGACGCCAGUUUUGGCGGAGCCAUCCUUGGGAUACCACCCUUGUAGUACUGGGACUCUAACCAUAGGCCAUGAAUCUGGUCUUGGGACACUGUCAGGUGGGCAGUUUGACUGGGGCGGUCGCCUCCCAAAAGGUAACGGAGGCGCUCAAAGGUUCUCUCAGUACGGUCGGAAAUCGUACGUAGAGUGUAAAGGCAAAAGAGAGCUUGAUUGCAAGACAUACAGGUCGAGCAAGGAUGAAAAUCGGACUUAGUGAUCCGGUGGUUCUGCGUGGAAGGGCCAUCGCUCAACGGAUAAAAGCUACCCUGGGGAUAACAGGCUUAUCUCCCCCAAGAGUCCACAUCGACGGGGAGGUUUGGCACCUCGAUGUCGGCUCAUCACAUCCUGGGGCUGUAGUAGGUCCCAAGGGUUGGGCUGUUCGCCCAUUAAAGUGGUACGCGAGCUGGGUUCAGAACGUCGUGAGACAGUUCGGUCCCUAUCCGUCGCAGGCGUAGGAAAUUUGAGAAGACCUGUCCUUAGUACGAGAGGACCGGGAUGGACGU
rnacentral:rRNA from 1 species